ensembl:lncRNA
AGGGAAACGGCUAGUCUGAAAGUUGAGCAUGAUGUCCUUCUUGACAUUGAAAAUAGCAAAGAAAACCAAAAUACUUAUGAAAAUAGUGUCAAUAAAGUGAGAGACGCUCUUGUUGACAUAAAAAACAAUCCAGACUCAGGAUUGGUUGUUAAUAAUGCCAUUGCAUCAGAGACUGGACUUGGUGGUGAGUUUUCAGUAACUUGUAUUUUAACUUACUGUGCUAUGAGCAAGAAGAAUAGUCAGUUUUUGUUUUAUCCAGCUGUACUUACUCAAUGCAACUUAUAACAUCCAGGUGAAAGAUAUAACACCAACAUGUCAUAAAAAAUAUAAAGCCACUGAGUUGGAAAAAGGAUCACCCCCAUAGGCGGACCGUGUGGCCAUGGGGACUUGGUGCAAAAAUGCCCCUGCACAAACACAUGAAAUCUAUUACGUCUGUUGCUAACAAAGUGAAAAUGAACAAAUUUCAUUUUAGAUGUUUUUACAGU